GACGAACGCCGGCGGCGUGCUUAACACAUGCAAGUCGAACGGGAGUAUUGAAGAAGCUUGCUUUAGAGAUACUUUAGUGGUGGACGGGUGAGUAACGCGUGAGGAGCUGUCCAAUGCAGGGGGACAACAGUUGGAAACGACUGCUAAUACCCCAUAAGCCGAGAGGUAAAAGGAUUUAUCCGGCAAUGGAGGUACUCGCGUCCUAUCAGCUAGUAGGUGAGGUAACGGCUCACCUAGGCGAAGACGGGUAGCCGGCCUGAGAGGGCGAACGGCCACACUGGAACUGAGAUACGGUCCAGACUCCUACGGGAGGCAGCAGUGGGGAAUAUUGGGCAAUGGGGGGAACCCUGACCCAGCGACGCCGCGUGGGUGAAGAAAUCCUUCGGGAUGUAAAGCCCUGUUGUAUGGGAAGAGCGGAAGACGGUACCAUACGAGGAAGCCCCGGCAAACUACGUGCCAGCCGCCGCAGUAA
rnacentral:rRNA from 1 species